CCUACGGGUGGCUGCAGUGGGGAAUAUUGGACAAUGGGCGAAAGCCUGAUCCAGCCAUGCCGCGUGUGUGAAGAAGGCCUUCGGGUUGUAAAGCACUUUCAGUGGGGAAGAAAGCCUUGGGGCUAAUACCCUCGAGGAAGGACAUCACCCACAGAAGAAGCACCGGCUAACUCCGUGCCAGCAGCCGCGGUAAUACGGAGGGUGCGAGCGUUAAUCGGAAUUACUGGGCGUAAAGCGCGCGUAGGCGGUCUGAUAAGCCGGUUGUGAAAGCCCCGGGCGCAACCUGGGAACGGCAUCCGGAACUGUCAGGCUAGAGUGCAGGAGAGGAAGGUAGAAUUCCCGGUGUAGCGGUGAAAUGCGUAGAGAUCGGGAGGAAUACCAGUGGCGAAGGCGGCCUUCUGGACUGACACUGACGCUGAGGUGCGAAAGCGUGGGUAGCAAACAGGAUUAGAUACCCGGGUAGUC
rnacentral:rRNA from 1 species